CGCGUACAUAACAUACCUAUCAGUGGGGGAUACGCUUUGGAAACGAAGUAUAAUACCCCAUAGUUUUCAUGAAUCGCAUGGUUUAUGGAAUAAAGCUCCGGUGCUGAUAGAUUGGUGUGCGUACUAUUAGGUAGUUGGUGAGGUAGAGGCUCACCAAGCCGACGAUAGUUAGGGGGCGUGAGAGCGUGAACCCCCACACGGGUACUGAGACACGGACCCGACUCCUACGGGAGGCAGCAGUAAGGAAUAUUGGACAAUGGAGGCAACUCUGAUCCAGCCAUCCCGCGUGCAGGAUGACAG
rnacentral:rRNA from 1 species